AGGGUUACCAAUGGUCUCCAUGUCGGUGAGAACAAUGUCUCUGUAGCUAAACUCCAGUCCCUCCAUGAACUCCAGGUAGUCGCUGACCUUGAAGCCCUGGAUUGGCUCCUCCUGCAGGAAAUCAAAUUAAAUCUCUGGAAAUCAAAUGCUGCACCGAGCCAAUAGACAACAUCCUCGCUUAGCGUUCAGGUAAAUAAGGCUGACGAGGACGUGACACAGUGAGAACACAGUCAAUAACGGGAGUGCAAUUUAAGAGAGAGACAGAGAAGAAGGGGGAAGAUGAGGCCGUCGGAUGCAAACCUGUAUGUCUAAAACUUUGAACGGUUCAGCUAUGGACGAGGACUGUGACUGGCGCUCCUUCUCACCUUGAGGAAGACCUGCAGCUCCUGGGACUGUGUACGCUGCAGGAUGUCUGGCUGCAGAUGUUUGAAAAUGGCCACGCACAUGUACACCUGGUAGUCCGGACCCAUCACCACACAGG